AAGAAGCUGUAUCAGCAAGAAGUAAAGUUACAAAACGAAUAUGUCAAACGACUUGCAAGGGAUGCUCUCCCAAACAUUUACAAACUACAUUCCCCCGUGCUUUCAGCGGAGACAUGGAAACAGGAAGCUGGGCUUAUAGGGAGGCAAGAUUUGAAGCCUUCUUUUGAACAGAGUGCUAAUUGUGAAGACAGUCUAUGGGUUAAAAAUAUAUUGAAUAGAAGUUCCGGUGACGUAACUGUUGUUGAAAGAAAAAGUUCACCGCUCGUUCUAAACGAACAACUUCAGCCGAACGACAAUGAGACGCUGCAAUCGAUGAGUAUUGGUGAAAUAAUACCGAGACCUGGUCCUCCACAACAAUUCUUAUCUUUUUCUCCAAUUUUGCCUGAUUAUAUAAUCUGUAUACCUCCGAAAUUAGAUUUCAUAAAUUUCAAAGUCGGACAACUGCAUACG